UCUCCCGGCGGAGGGCGGAUCCUUGUUUCGCUGUCCUCGCAGCCCGCCGCGGCCUGACAGGAGGCGAGGCGGAGCAGCAGGCCGCACCGAGAGGUCGCCGCGGCCUGCCCUGGGCAGCCCUUCCCGCCGCGCUGUUUUGCCAGCCCCGUGGGGCUCUGGGAAGCUCAAUCUCCCCCCCCACCUUCCUGCCCCGAAUUGGGCAGGAAUUGGGAUUUUUAUCCCCAGCUCCUGACCAGAGGGCAGCUGGUGGCGGUGCCACAGCAGCAGGCUCUGCCCGGUGCCACGGUGUGAGGCAGCACCAUCGCUGGACAUGGGUUGGGUUUCGCAGUAGGGCAGGGUCGAUGCCGCUUCGCUCUGUGGGAAGCAUGGCUGUGGUCGCUGGAGGUGAUGCUGGGGCCUACGCGCCACAGGCCAUGUCUCUCGUGGGGCUUCUUCACAGCACAAGUGCUCUUGGUGCAAGGAGCAGCAGAAAUAGACCUUGCUGCAGAGGAGGGAGUGAUGGUGCCCACAGUGCUGAGGAUGGAGAGGGAUCUGUGCUGGGUACAGUGGGAGGGUGCUGCUCUGAGAUUCUCCUUUACAUCAGACUAUUUCAGUCCCUACACCUUCCAAGAAGCAAAGGACUGUUCCCCUCUUCUCAUGUCGCUGUAACGUUAAAGAGGGAAUAGAUAAAGAAGAGGAAGGAUGUCUGAAAACUUUAGAAAAUGCCAAGCUACUGCCGUAUGGAUGACUGCCUUGCAAAACCGUGAGAGAGCUCGACCAUAGAGGCCAGCAAAUCAGAGUGGAAAGAAACCUGAGCAAAUCAAAAUCAGGCUCCACGGGCAAAGAGAGAUCACCUUAUAUGGGAACAUCAUGGGCAAGAAGAUGAAUACGUCCGGCCGAGCUGCUGAGGUCAGAUCCCAAACAGAUGGAAGACGUUAAUGUGAAAAUGAGAGCAUUUAGGAAGAGAAGACAACACUUACUUCUGCUUCACUUAUGGAGUCUGAGCCCUCCUGUUUGUCUCUUUUAUUGUAAAUAUUGUGUUAUGUGUAUAUACACAUAGGUCUGACAGUGUUAUAUUAAAAAUCAAUUUCUUUGUGGCUAUUCUAGCACCUAAA